rnacentral:rRNA from 1 species
ACUCAAAUGAAUAGACGGGGGCCCGCACAAGCGGAGGAGCAUGUGGCUCAAUUCGAUGCUACGCGAAGAACCUUACCCAGGCUUGACAUGGGGCUGCAAGGCCGGCGAAAGCCGGCCCGCCUUCGAGGGCGCCCCACAGGUGCUGCAUGGCUGUCGUCAGUUCGUGCCGUGAGGUGUUCGGUUAAGUCCGAUAACGAACGCAACCCCUGCGCCGUGUUGCCAGCGCGUCAAGGCGGGCACUCGCGGCGGACUGCCCGUUCACGCGGGAGGAGGGUGGGGACGACGUCAAGUCAGUAUGGCCCUUACGCCUGGGGCUGCACACGUGCUACAAUGGCCGGCACAGAGGGACGCCAAGCGGCGACGCGGAGCGGACCCCCCAAAACCGGCCCCAGUUCGGAUCGGGGUCUGCAACUCGACCCCGUGAAGCCGGAUUCGCUAGUAACGGCGCAUCAGCCACGGCGCCGUGAAUACGUUCCCGGGCCUUGUACACACCGCCCGU